UUACGGCUAUAUCACGUUGAAACACCAGUUCUUGUACGAUAUCCGAAGUUAAGCAACGUGGAGCCCGGUCAGUACCUAGAUAGGACCGAUUGGGAAAUACAGGUACUGUAA